CGUACCUUUUGUAUAAUGGGUCAGCGACUUAUAUUCUGUAGCAAGGUUAACCGUAUAGGGGAGCCGGAGGGAAACCGAGUCUUAAUUGGGCGUUAAGUUGCAGGGUAUAGACCCGAAACCCGGUGAUCUAGCCAUGGGCAGGUUGAAGGUUGGGUAACACUAACUGGAGGACCGAACCGACUAAUGUUGAAAAAUUAGCGGAUGACCUGUGGCUGGGGGUGAAAGGCCAAUCAAACCGGGAGAUAGCUGGUUCUCCCCGAAAGCUAUUUAGGUAGCGCCUCGUGAAUUCAUCUCCGGGGGUAGAGCACUGUUUCGGCUAGGGGGCCAUCCCGGCUUACCAACCCGAUGCAAACUGCGAAUACCGGAGAAUGUUAUCACGGGAGACACACGGCGGGUGCUAACGUCCGUCGUGAAGAGGGAAACAACCCAGACCGCCAGCUAAGGUCCCAAAGUCAUGGUUAAGUGGGAAACGAUGUGGGAAGGCCCAGACAGCCAGGAUGUUGGCUUAGAAGCAGCCAUCAUUUAAAGAAAGCGUAAUAGCUCACUGGUCGAGUCGGCCUGCGCGGAAGAUGUAACGGGGCUAAACCAUGCACCGAAGCUGCGGCAGCGAACGUAUCACCCAAGACAACUUUACGGAGUUGACGAUUGACGGAGCGAAGCGACGUCAAAGCGUUCAUUAAAGUCGAGUUGGCUUAGGGAUACGUUCGUUGGGUAGGGGAGCGUUCUGUAAGCCUGUGAAGGUGUGUCGUGAGGCAUGCUGGAGGUAUCAGAAGUGCGAAUGCUGACAUAAGUAACGAUAAAGCGGGUGAAAAGCCCGCUCGCCGGAAGACCAAGGGUUCCUGUCCAACGUUAAUCGGGGCAGGGUGAGUCGACCCCUAAGGCGAGGCCGAAAGGCGUAGUCGAUGGGAAACGGGUUAAUAUUCCCGUACUUGGUGUUACUGCGAAGGGGGGACGGAGAAGGCUAUGUUGGCCGGGCGACGGUUGUCCCGGUUUAAGCGUGUAGGUGUGUGUUCCAGGUAAAUCCGGUUCACUUUAACACUGAGGCGUGACGACGAGGCACUACGGUGCUGAAGCAACAAAUGCCCUGCUUCCAGGAAAA
rnacentral:rRNA from 2 species